rnacentral:lncRNA from 1 species
UAGACAGUGGCUUGUCAAGAAGAAAACUGACUUUUACUCAUUCCUAACUUUAUUGUUUUUUUUUUCUCAGAAUGGAGAAGAUCACAAGCUAAAAUGUACCUUAGGGAACAUUUUUCUUUCCAGACCACUUAAUUACUUGAAAAGAUAAUCUGAAUAACAUUUGAUCAAAUUUUUCAUUAGAACUCCCUUUUAAUUUUUCAUUAGCUUCAUAAUUAACUGAAUUUGUACAGUCAUCAGUCUGUUUACAGCUUUUUGCUUUGUAAAGUGCUGUACCAUAACCCUGUCUCUCUCUCUCUUUGUGCUUUCCAGAUCAUCACACUGAGUAUUGUAAGGCAGCCAUAUAUCCUUCUCCUGAUGAAUGGAACAUCCAUUUCUACAUAGCAUCAAACUGAUAGAUGUAUUUUCACGGUUAGAAGGAGAACGGGCAUCUCACUCCAACUCUUAUUUGAAUUUUCAUUUCAUUUGAUUAAGUUCCCAUAGAGGUAAUAGAGGCUGAUGGCUUUCAGUACAUCCAAAGCUCAACUCCUCAACUCCUAGACCUGGGCUUGAAGUCACGUAAAACCCCUACAGAGGUCAGCAAGUUUUAACAAAGUUCCUCUAGCAAAAGCAGUGAUGAAAGCAUCUCAGAGGCUCUUGCUGCAGCUGGGAGCACGCAGUACCUGAAAUUCCAGCCAUUUUCUCAGGGAUGUUGUUGCAACCAUGGAGAGAAAUUGGUGCAGGCUAUGCAUAAUUUCCAGAGAGGGCAAUUUCAGACUAAUCAAAGAAGAGUCCUUCCUGGAAAUUCCAUAUGCUUCAGGACUCUGCUUUCCUGAAGGUUAGAAGA